rnacentral:rRNA from 1 species
GAUGAACGCUGGCGGCGUGCCUAAUACAUGCAAGUCGAGCGAACAGACGAGGAGCUUGCUCCUCUGACGUUAGCGGCGGACGGGUGAGUAACACGUGGAUAACCUACCUAUAAGACUGGGAUAACUUCGGGAAACCGGAGCUAAUACCGGAUAAUAUAUUGAACCGCAUGGUUCAAUAGUGAAAGACGGUUUUGCUGUCACUUAUAGAUGGAUCCGCGCCGCAUUAGCUAGUUGGUAAGGUAACGGCUUACCAAGGCAACGAUGCGUAGCCGACCUGAGAGGGUGAUCGGCCACACUGGAACUGAGACACGGUCCAGACGCCUACGGGAGGCAGCAGUAGGGAAUCUUCCGCAAAGGGCGGAAGCCUGACGGAGCAACGCCGCGUGAGUGAUGAAGGUCUUCGGAUCGUAAAACUCUGUUAUUAGGGAAGAACAAAUGUGUAAGUAACUAUGCACGUCUUGACGGUACCUAAUCAGAAAGCCACGGCUAACUACGUG